AUAUCUGAUCAGAAUCUCUUACUAAUUUUUACAGUAUCAAUAUUAAGAAGUUGGAAGAGAAAGCAAUUUGUGUUCACUAGAAUAUGUAGUUUUGUGCAAAUAAUAUAUCUUUUUUAUGCUAAAGUUGUUUGCUAAAAAUUUCUGUAGCAUCCUCUUUGUGCAGGUUAGCAAGUGGGAUUGGUCCGUUGCUUUUUCUUCAAUUCAUUCUCUUUUUCUUUUUAGUUUGAUUGCUUACUUAAUUUGCUAACAUUGUUGUGGUUGAAGAGUGUGUUCGAAGGUAAGUAAAACGAAAGUGUGUUUGAAAGAUUGCUUGCAUCCUAUUGGUGCAGCGACUAAUAACGUUUUUGGCUCUACAAUGAUUAACAGCUUCUUUUGAUUAGAUUCAUUGUACACCGUCAAAGAAAAUUCGAGGGAGGAACGACCAAAUUUCGUAGUUAGCUUGACAAUCUUGGCAAGAGAUUAUUCAUAGAUUUUGCUCGGUGGAUACUAUUCAUUAUUGGACGAUUUGCAUAUCGAUAGCAGUUUUGAUCAGAUUUAUUUGAAUAAAUCUAUGAAAAUCAAAUGGAUCUAUACUCUUCGUUUCCUGGAACAACUUUGGCAAUGGAUGCUAAAGGCUGGGUUGUUCGUUCUCUUGGAUUUUCUUAAGUAAGUUCUAUGUUCAUUGGUUUUUCUUAAGUCCAUUUUAUGUUCUCUAACUACGUUUUUCUUAAGCAUGCAUAUGGAUUUACAAAUUUUUUAUUAUCUUUUAGUAAGGCAACAGUAAUAUCGUUUUUUUUUUUUUGCUCGGUAAAUAAAAUUACAUUAAGGAACACUAAUAUCGUCGUCAUCAGUCUUCUAUGAAAUGCAUCAGUUUGCAAGGAUGCAUUUGGUUAAUUAUCCUUCUUUAACUUUCCUCCUGGUAAUUUUAUAUCUCUCAUUAUUUUCUUCAUGCCCUUUUUUCUUUCUAUCCAAUUUUAACGGGGACUGUUUUCAUAGUCUUUUUGUCUUCUAUCCGUUUACGUUGCUUCUAGCAUCUUUCAUGCUUGACAUGGCUGAAAGUUUGAUCCACGAUAUUAAAUGUAAUUAUUAUGAGAAGUUCCGAGACUUGGUUCGUAAUGCUACCUUAGGUAGUAUAUGGGGUAGAAGCAGGGUUUCAUCGGGGGAAUAACUCCGCCAGAAAGUAAAAAUUUGACACAGAUUGGCCGAAACUAUGUACUUGGUACUCCCAAAAUAAUCUUAAGCAUGCAUCGGAUGGGGCGAGGCGAAGCCGAACCACACCAAAUCAAGAAUCCUAAUCACGGUGCCUAGGAUGGUUUCGAGUCCGUCCGGGCGUAGCACAUUUAAAUCAUCUUUGUUAUAUCUUAUUUAGCUCUCCGCCACGUACAAAAUUUUGAGAUCAUUUAAAUCAACAAAUCCAUCUUCUAAGUUCAGUGGUGGUGGUCCUGACUUAUCAUUGGACGUUUCUGUAGGCAUAACAAUACAAUUCAAGAAUACAUUCUGUAUGCAUAACAAUACAAUUCAAGAAUACAUUGUGUAGACGGAUCGUUUCUGUUUGCAUAACAGUAUAAUCAAAAAUCAAAAAUGCAUCGGGACGGGGGCGAGGCGAAGCCGAGCCAUACCAAAUCAAAAAUGCAUUGGUAUGGAGGCGAGGCGAGCCACACCAAAUCAAAAAUGCAUCGCGAAGGGAGAAGGCGAGAACAAAUAAAUGGUUUAAAGAAAGAAAAAACAAGUUUUAGGAGCUGCCCGGGCGUAACACGGGCACAAAAUCUAGUAUGUUAAUGUAUGGAUGGUGCUAUACUUUGGUGCUUGAUAGUGAAAAUCAUAUUGACCAACAAGUUUGUUUUUCACCGAGCAAAAACCAAAAAACUAUUACCUUCUCUAAUGAGAUGUUCCCGGUAAAUUUCACGAAAUUUUCUAGAAGCUAUUGAUGUUCUGAGUAAUGAGGCAAGGGUUUAAUGCUGCGGAAAAUUGAAUUGAAACAGUGGAUUUGAU